rnacentral:tRNA from 1 species
CUUUGAGUAACUAAAUAAAGUCUUGAUCUUUUAAUUCAAUAAUGGUUUGUCGCCCCGAAGU